rnacentral:lncRNA from 1 species
CAAACGUCCGCCCUAGAAUCCCUCAUCCUCUCCGUCUCUCUGAGACCUAAACCUAACCCUAACCAUCGCCACCUAAAACCAGCCCUAAUCCCUCCAAUUCUCACUCGAUCCAUGGAUUUCCAUGGGUGUUUGAGACCCCUACGAGCUUCCUGCUUCCCUUGGUUGCUCGAUUUUAUGAUUUCAUGGAAGAAUCUCGAAGAGAUCUAACCAGAUCUAGUUCAAGACUCUCUGAGAGUCCGUCUAGGAUUGUGAGUGUUACUAUUCUGAUACUUUUACGGUUCAAAUCUCUUAUUUAAGACUGGAUUCUCUUUACCCUUUCACUCUUUCUUCAAAACCCUCACUUCAAACACGAAUCCAUCCAGAUCUUUGUAGAUCUGGAAAGUUUCGGAGUUCUUUUUCUUUAAGAGUUUCUUGUUUCUUCACUAUUAGUCGAUUUCUGGCACUAUGUUAUCUUAAUUUUGAUCUCUUUAUUAUCUGAUGCUCGAUCCUCUGCAUGUUUGAAGUGUUUUUAAAUUCCCAUGGUUGUUCUGUAAGGUUCUUUUACUUUUCUACUACUAACCGAUUUUUAGCACUACGCUACUUUAGGUUUUUAAUUUCUCUGAUUUCUGUUGUUCGAAUCUCUGUAUGUUUGAAGUGCUUUCUGUUUCCAUGGCUAUUUCUUUAAAGUUCUCCUAAUCUUCGUGCUACUAAUCAACCCUAAAUAUCUUUCUAAUUAUUUGGGGUUUCCACUUCCGUUUUUACAAAAGGUUUUCUAAAGUUUUAUGUUUCGUUUAAUCUUUCUCGCAUGGUUAUGUUCCUGAUCCAAAUGUUUGACUAUUCAGUGUUUGAUUUCAACCUCUUGUCCGUUAUUGUUUGAAUAAUUGAUUGAUUACCUAAUUAUCUUGGGUUUCCUUUGUUUACUAAACUAAUUUACUGAUCUCUGAUUGUUUUCCUUAAUCCUGAGUUCUUAAUUGACAUCUUUUAUCUAUCUAUGGGUUGAUUGACCCUUUGAUUGGUCUCUGAUUACCCGUGUUGCCUCAUUUGUGAAACUGAUUACUUGAUUUAAGGGUUCUAACCCUAAUUGACUGUUAAACCUACUUCUUGCCUUAUUUGAAAUUCAAUUAGAGCUAUUUAUGGUAUAAUUCCCUAAUUUCCUACCCCAAUCAAGCUUGGUUGAUUAUUUCCUUACCUUAUUUUUGCAAUGUCAAUUUGCCUUGCCUUACUUACCUAUACUAUUCAACUACUACUAUAUAUAUAUAUAUAUAUAUAUAUAUAUAUAUAUAUAUAUGCAUUCUCAUUCUACUUUAGACACGAACAAUAGUUCACACACACACACAAAACUUUCCUCUCAUCUCUCUGCUGCUUGUGAUCACUGCUAAACUAGCCGGUUGAAAGCCAAGGUUUGGCUGUUGAAUCCUGCUUACUUUACCUUCUGUUUUUGCUUCCUUAACUGGUAUGCCUCUACCAUUUUCAUUCAAUUAAAAUGUGUAUUUAUCAGCAUGCUACUUCUGUUUAAAUUUUGUAUGUUUAUCAGCAUGUUACUUCGGUUGAAUUUGUUUGUUUAUUAGCAUGUUACUUCUGUUCAAUCCAUGUGUUUGUUAGCAUGACUACUUCUGUCCAAUCUAUGAGGCUACUUUUGCUCAAAACUAUGUAGUCAAUAUCAUAUCUAACUAUGUCUUUCCUAGCAUGUCUAUUAAUAUUCAACCUAUGUGUUUAUGUCUACUCCUGUCCAAUACAUGUGUUUACUACAAUAGCAUGUUGACUUUUGUUUUUAGUUAGAACUAGGUGUUCUGCCUUCAGCAAGUUUGCAUGUUUACUUAUGUCUAAAAUUAGAUCUAUCUCUUGUCUACUUCCCUACUAGCAUGAUCUCCUAUCUGGAUACCCUGCUCCCCAAUCCCUAUUACCCUUUACAAGUGGAUGAUUGAUCCACAUUACUUCUGUGUUUGGUUACUUAGUAACAGCUGAUAGGCUUAAGUAAUCCUAUUUCUGAAUGAUGUUUGUUUGGCUGGAACCUUUGCCUAAGUUCCAGGAACUGAAUGACUCUGUUUACUUCUGAUUUUCCUGAAAGUCUAAAAAUGUUUCUCAAAACUACUCUUGUAAAGCACUAUCCACUUAAAUUCCUAGAACACUUAGGCUCUUGCCCCUCCAGUGUGACUUUGGAGUCCACGAGGCUCCUCUGAACCUUGACACACUGGGGUUGGCUACUCCACACUGCACAAGUUGAUGAUUUUUUAAGAGGACCUUGGUGUGAGCACUGCCCUGGGUCCCUGAGACCCUUGGGAACUUUGACACAUCAAUGUAACCCUUUUGCACUAUGAGUUAUGGCAUUUAAGACUAUUUGAAGGCCUGGUUCCCAUGGUUUUGCUUUGGGCCUAUCCAGGCUCCCUAUAGUUUACUGUUAUCAUUCCUGUAAUUCAUUUUUACACUUGGUUUGUAAUAUUAAUUACUUUGUAAAUAGAUAUUGGGGAAAUUAGUAAACAGGAAAGGAUUAUUAUACACAUUUUGUUGGGAAUGGGUAGAUGUCAUGCCUAUAGGAAUUAAAAUCAGUAUUUACAUCCUAGAAGCCAUGCCUAUAGAACAUUGCAAUGUUCAUCACUUGUGUGCAUUCUAAAUAUCAUGACUAUAGGGUUCAAAUCCACUUUUGCAAUCAGAAAUCAUAUUGUUGUGUUGUUUGACUAUUUGCAUGCAUUCUAGAUACCAUGCAUAUAGGUUAAAAAUCAGUCUUGCACGUUUAGAUAUCAUGCAUAUAAGCUAAAAAUUAGUCUUGCACGUUUAGAUAUCAUGCCUGUAGACAUGUGAUUUUUGACCCUCCCCGAAAUUUUACCCAUUUUAGCGUAAAAUAUUUAGUUUAGGCCUAAUAUCGAUAUUUCAAUUAGUUUUGACUCUUUUACUUUAUUUUAUAAAAAAAAAUGAAAAUUACAAAAAUAUUUCCUCUUUUUAGUUGCUUUUAGUUUAUUACUUUUCGCAAAACUAAAAAAAAAUACAAAAAUAGUACGAUAUUUGAAAAUACCAAAAAAUAGGUUUGUUUUAACGGUUAGUAUUAUCUUAAUAGUUAUUUUACUUAAAUAGGAUUAAUUAGUAAAUAAGACCGUAUUUUAGUGUCGUUCACGGAGAAAGAAUAAAAUUUGGGCUCAAACAACCCAUUUUUAAGCUUAAUUUUCGGACCUAUCCCAUAAUUUCCAAGCCCAUAAUUCCUAAGCCCAUACCCCUUAACCUAAAAAACCCUACAAAAACAUAGACCUAGACCCUAGAGACCUAGGGAGAUAUUUUUGUUUCGCCGUUUUCAUCAGUAAACCCCCCCCCAGCGAGCUUCUUCUUCACAGACCUUAGAAGACCCCUUCUUCUCCAUAGAAACAACCCUAGAACACCACCCUUUUCAGCAACGAUCCUUAGACCCUUAGGACCUUUUUCCGCCGCAGAACACCUAAAAAAUCAGAACCCCACCUGAACUCUUUCUUCUUCGACAAAACAAAACCAACAAAAGCUCCAUUCCCAGCCGUUUCCAUGGAGUCUGAGCUUCAUAAAUGGACGCACACACAGAUAUAAAUGGACGAAUUUUUGGGGUUUGGAAAAAGAGACAUAACACAUAGCGUAAAGGACAGUAACGAAGUGAAAUGAAAGGCGAGAGUUCCGAGUUCUGGUGUAAUUCGAGUUUUUCGGCGAGUUUCAUGUUCGUCGAAGGUCGUAGUCUGAGGUUUUCGGGCAGAUUCGCGGUUCGUCAAAGUCUUGUUCGCGUCUCUGAUUUCCGAUGUGGUGAUCAGAUUUUAGUUUUUUUCUAACUAGAUAGUCAUUGCAAUUGUGUAAAAUUUGGCUGGAAUUUUUCUUUGUUAAUGCAUUGAGGAUGGUAUCUACCAGUGACGGUUCAAACGAAAGAGUUCUGCAUUUGUUCUCAUUUUUAGAUUUUAAGAUUUUUCAAUUUUCUUUUAAACUCAAGAAAAUUGCAAAAAUAUAAAUAUUAAAAAAGAUUGCUGAUACUUCAUUCUUAGUGGUCGGAUUCCGAUUUCUAACUCAUGGGGGUUAGCCUGAUUUUGCGGUUCCGGGUCUGAAUGGCUACUAUUUUCUUGACUGAGUUUUGGAUUUGAAGCCUCGUAUCUAUUGGGUUGCUUAAAUAUUCAAAGAAAUCUACUCAUUGAGGUCUCUCUCUAAAUCUGUUUGCAUUUCAAUUCCUCGAUUUGCUUCUCUCGAUGUUAUAUGAGAUCGUUGCUCGAUUGCCUAUUGCUUUUAGUUUUUGUGAUUGAAAUUGGCUCUGCUUCAUGAAUAAGGUAGGGAACAUAAUUCCCAGAUUUCAAAAAGUAGCGUUUGUGCUCAAUAAGUGUUAAAUUUUGUUCUUUCUUGUAUAAUUUAUUCAAUUUGUAUGGAUGCAAAGAUGAAAAUGUUCCAUUAAGGGGGCUGUGAUUCUAAUUGGUGGUAACACAUUUGAAUAUGUUAGAGUGCUUUAGGCUCUCUCUUAACUAAUUAUAUUAUUGUGAUUGUGUAUACGUUCGCAUGACAUGGUUACGAUUUUUUUUAAAAAAAUCGGAGUAUGCAUUCGCGCAACUUCGGCCAAACCUUUAUUAAUAAUAAUAAUAAUAAUAAAGCAUUAUUAGUUAUGGACACGUUCGCGUGACAUGAUUUUUGAAGCGCCAAACAAAUGGGUACACGUGCACGUGACCUGUUUAAAGAUAAUUUCUUAAUUAAAAGAGGCAAAUGCACAUAUGUUCUAAAAUGAGUAAUUAGACAAUUUGAUUAAGCCAAGUAUGAUCAAAGAGACCAUGCUAAAACCACAGAACUCGGGAAUGCCUAACACCUUCUCCCAGGUUAACAGAAUUCCUUACCCGAAUUUUUGUGUUCGCAGACCGUAAAUAGAGUCAAACUUCCUCGAUUCGGGAUUUUAAACCGGUGACUUGGGACACCAUAAAUUAUCCCAAGUGGCGACACUGAAUUUUAAAUAAAUAAUCCCAUUUUGAUUGUCACUUAAAUUUUAAAAACUCUCUUAUACCCUCUCGGGGUGUAGGAAAAAGGAGGUGUGACAGCUCUGGCGACUCCGCUGGGGAUAAGAACCCCAAACUUCUGGUUCAGGGUUCAAGAAUUCGAGCUUGUUAAUAUGAUCUAUGCUUGACUUUAUUGUUUGUAGAUAUUACUGUAUUUGUGGACCUAAUGUGCUAAUUGCUGUUUAUUUACCGCUUUCAUAUUACUUGAACUGUAUUAAACUGUCUUCUUACGCUACCCCUCUGAGUCUUCUGAAUGGUGCACACGUUUGCGUGAACCACUUUUUCUGUAGAAAUUAUACCAAAUAGAACGAGGCUGGGCCAACAACAAGGCCGGGUAGACUUUAGUGCUCCCGGUACGUUGCCCUCUCUUCGGCUCGAGUUGUCCGCUUGGGUAAGCCAGGUCAAGAACAUAACCCUAGGUUUUAACUUAGAAUAACACAACCUCAUGCCGGAUCCCUAGUAGGAACGUUUGUUUGCAUUACGUGUAUUUGACGUUGGGGACUCAACACAGGGUUUGGGUCCGUCUAGGACAGGUGUACCCAAAAUAACUGACCAUCUUGAUGCAUCCUAUGUGCUACAUGUUGCAUUUCUUCAACGGUAAAAUGGUCAUUUGGCGUAGUUGAGGGCAAAUGAAAAAAGAAAAAAAGGAAAAAAGGAAAAAAAGAGGGUAAAGUGUGAAAAUAAAGCAAGUAGGGCCCAAUUAUGUUUUUUGUCACAUUUUUCUUAAGAAAAAAAGAGAACUUGAAAAAUUCAAAAAAGAAAAAAAGAUUUUACACUUUAUCAUCAUUUUCCGAAAAUAAAAAAUAAAAAAAGAAAAGAAAAUCCAAAAAGAUUUUACAUGUGUCAUCAUUAUUAAAAAAAAGACAAAAAAUAUAUUUUUUCUAAAUUAGUUAUUUUUUUUAUUUCUUGCCCGUAUUCAAUCUGCCCGAACUAUGCACACCUGAUUCUCGUCUUUCGGAGCGAGAUACGUAGGCAACCCACAUAGGGUUCGGUCUUCCUAGUGAUUUUAGGUUUUUGGCUUCGCCGGGACCUAGCCGAAUCUUGCACUUUUAGCCAUAUAGGUUAAUUUUAGAAAAAUAGUUACAAUCAUGUCUUGCAUGUGUCCAAUAUGGAGUGUUAUUGUCUCACAUAGUGUUCUAGGUCUUUAACUUUAUUUGGUCUUAAUUUUCUCAUAUAGGUGUGGGUCUACUUACCAGAGUUUGAGCAUGACAGACGCCCCAAGCCCAUCCAGUCAGGAUCGCUCGUUCAAGAGUUGCUUAAGGAGA